CCCUUAGAUGUCCUGGGCCGCACGCGUGCUACACUGACUGGUGCAUCAAGCCCCCUGGCCCGAAAGGUGCUGGGAAAUCUUUAAAUGCCAGUCGUGCUAGGGAUUGAUCUUUGUAAUUUUGGAUCAUGAACGAGGAAUUCCUUGUAAGCAUAUGUCACCAACGUGUGCUGAAUACGUCCCUGCCCUUUGUACACACCGCCCGUCGCUCCUACCGAUCGAAGAGUUAGGUGAAUUGUUUUGAUCGAUAAGAUUUGACUAUGGUCAACUCUCGUUGUGAAAUUCUGUGAAUCUGACUGUUUAGAGGAAGGAAAAGUCGUAACA
rnacentral:rRNA from 1 species